GAGAGCCAGAAGGAAAGAGAGGAGGCCGGCCCGGGGACGGAUAGGAGGGUGGGCUCCCUAAGAGUACAUCUGGCCUUCCAGUUUUUCCACUUUGGUGACUUCUACAUCCAUUCUUCCUCAGCCAUGCAUAGAAGUCAUGUCAGCCAGGAGAGAAUGCAAAUUUUCUUUCCAAAAUGGAGAAACUGCAGAAAUAAUUUACCAAAAGGAGAAGGAAAAGUAAGAAAGCUGGAGACAGCAAUGGAUAGAAUAUUAGGCCUAUAAUUAGAAAGACCUGAUUUCAAAUCUAGCCUCAGACCCUGUAGUAGCUGUAUGACCCUGAGCAAGUCAGUUUCCUUAAUUGUAAAAUGGAAUUAUGCUUAUAAUUAUUAUGCUUUUCCUCAGGGAGGAAAAGGGAAGAAGAGAAUUGGUCAAAUUUUUAAAAAUACAAUUGUUAACCAUUGUUUUUACAUGUAAUUGAGGAAAAAUAAAAUGUUAUUUUUAUUGUAAAUUGUAAAAUUGUAAAAUGGGACCUAUUUCCCAGGGUUGUUGGGAAGAUCAACUGAAAUAAUGUUUAUAAAGUUCCUGGCCCAUAAUAA
rnacentral:lncRNA from 1 species